GACGAACGCUGGCGGCGUGCCUAAUACAUGCAAGUCGAACGAGGUCCACCUUGUGGCAACACUUGGGAAGACCUAGUGGCGAACGGGUGAGUAACACGUGAGGAACCUACCCCGGAGACCGGGAUAACCGCUCGAAAGGGCGGCUAAUACCGGAUACCCCGAUCAGAUCGCAUGGUCAGAUCGGGAAAUGGAUUCUGCUCCGGGCGGGUCUCGCGGCCCAUCAGCUCGUUGGUGAGGUAACGGCUCACCAAGGCAUCGACGGGUAGCUGGUCUGAGA
rnacentral:rRNA from 1 species